rnacentral:tRNA from 1 species
AGUUAAAAAGCCAAGAAUGCCUGAUGUCUUGAAAACAUCACGAAAGAAGUUUAAAUCUUCUAUUAACUU